AGAGCGAACGCUGGCGGCAGGCCUAAUACAUGCAAGUCGAACGGACCCUUCGGGGUUAGUGGCGGACGGGUGAGUAACACGUGGGAACGUGCCCUUUGGUUCGGAACAACUCAGGGAAACUUGAGCUAAUACCGGAUGUGCCCUUCGGGGGAAAGAUUUAUCGCCAUUGGAGCGGCCCGCGUCUGAUUAGCUAGUUGGUGGGGUAAAGGCCUACCAAGGCUACGAUCAGUAGCUGGUCUGAGAGGAUGAUCAGCCACACUGGGACUGAGACACGGCCCAGACUCCUACGGGAGGCAGCAGUAGGGAAUCUUGCGCAAUGGGCGAAAGCCUGACGCAGCCAUGCCGCGUGAAUGAUGAAGGUCUUAGGAUUGUAAAAUUCUUUCAGCGGGGACGAUAAUGACGGUACCCGCAGAAGACGCCCGGCUAACUUCGCGCCAGCAGCCGAC
rnacentral:rRNA from 1 species